GAUGAACGCUGGCGGCGUGCCUAAUACAUGCAAGUCGAACGAGGUGCUUUUGUAGCAAUACGAGAGUAUCCUAGUGGCGAACGGGUGAGUAACGCGUUGGUGACCUACCCCAAAGUGUGGGAUAACAGUCCGAAAGGAUUGCUAAUACCGCAUGUGGUCAUUGGAUUUAGAAACUGAUGACUAAAGGAGCAAUUCGCUUUGGGAGGGACCUGCGUCCCAUCAGCUAGUUGGUGAGGUAAUGGCUCACCAAGGCGACGACGGGUAGGGGGCCUGAGAGGGUGGCCCCCCACAAUGGAACUGAAACACGGUCCAUACACCUACGGGUGGCAGCAGUAGGGAAUAUUGCUCAAUGGGCGAAAGCCUGAAGCAGCAACGCCGCGUGCGUGAUGAAGGUCUUCGGAUCGUAAAGCGCUUUUCUGGGAGAUGAGAAAGGACAGUAUCCCAGGAAUAAGUCUCGGCUAACUACGUGCCAGCAGCCGCCGUAACAC
rnacentral:rRNA from 1 species